AUACGGAGGAUGCGAGCGUUAUCCGGAUUUAUUGGGUUUAAAGGGUGCGUAGGCGGUUUGUCAAGUCAGCGGUGAAACGCAAGGGCUUAACCCUUGACCUGCCGUUGAAACUGAUUGACUAGAAUGCGGAUGCUGUGGGAGGAAUGUGUGGUGUAGCGGUGAAAUGCAUAGAUAUCACACAGAACACCGAUUACGAAGGCAUCUCACAAAUCCGUGAUUGACGCUGAGGCACGAAAGUGUGGGGAUCAAACAGGAUUAGAUACCCUGGUAGUCCACACUGUAAACGAUGAUAACUCGCUGUCGGCGAUACACAGUCGGUGGCCAAGCGAAAGCGAUAAGUUAUCCACCUGGGGAGUACGACCGCAAGGUUGAAACUCAAAUGAAUUGACGGGG
rnacentral:rRNA from 1 species